UCUUGUUCUGCUCAGAUUUUAGCUUGUAUUCUUCUCUAUUCCAUUUUAAUUGUCAGGAGUUCCAGACUUCCUGUGGAAUAUGANUUAAUUGUCCGAGUUCCAGACUUCCUGUGGAAUAUGAGCUGGUUUAAAGCCAUGUUUGUUUCUUUUUGGGCUCCUCAAGUUGAAGAGAUAUUGAUCAUAAGUUUCUGCCGCUUUCCUUGCUCAAGCUUGCCUCACCACCGAGUCUAUUGUUUCAUCCCAACAACAUUUUUUCUACACAUUAACAAUAUAAACAUAAGUUUAAGUGUAAAUGUUUACCAAACAACAAUUUAUCACAUAAAGUUAAUUACCUGAAACUCCUCCCAAUAUAAUUCGCGCAUU
rnacentral:lncRNA from 1 species